AUGGCGCUCGGCCGGCCAUUGCACUCCAACCAUCCUCAGCAGCAGCAGCGAUCACCGCGACACCGGAGAGAGACAACACAAUCAGUCCGAUCACCGAGCGAUCCAGCGAUCAUCACCGGUCGGUUGAUGAGCAUGACGGGACUUGGGUCGCCGUGCGGAGCGUGCAAGUUCUUGCGGCGCAAGUGCGCGCGCGGGUGCGUCUUUGCGCCCUACUUCUGCCACGAGCAGGGCGCGGCGCACUUCGCCGCCAUCCACAAGGUAUUCGGCGCCAGCAACGUCUCCAAGCUCCUGGCGCACCUGCCCAUCUCCGACCGCGCCGAGGCCGCCGUCACCGUCUCCUACGAGGCGCAGGCCCGCCUGCGCGACCCCGUCUACGGCUGCGUCGCACACAUCUUCGCGCUCCAGCAGCAGGUCAUGACCCUGCAGGCGCAGCUCGCCUCGCUCAAGGCGCACGCCCCGCCGGCGCCGCAAGGGAUGCAGCACCAGGACGACGUCAAAGGCUACGUGGGAGGCGGCGCGGCGGAUCAGUACGCGCACGGCGGCUACCAAUGGCACAACGGCAACGGCGUGGGCGCGGCGGCCGCGCAGCAGCAGUGCGCGUACGGCGGCAACGGUGGCGCCACGGCCGGGCACGACUCCAUCAGCGCGCUGCUGGCCGGUUCGGCGGCGUCGGACUACAUGAUGUACCACGCGCUGGAGCAGUCGGCGUCGGACGACGACGGGCAUGCCGCGGUGGCGGCCUUCGAGGUGGCGGAGCAGUCGUCGUUCGGGACGGAGGAGAGCGGGUGGAGGUCGUCGUCGGGGUACCAAGACUGCGAGGACCUGCAGAGCGUGGCGUAUGCGUACCUAAAUCGCUCGUAA
rnacentral:rRNA from 1 species